ACGUGUUGUUAGAUGCACAGUAUCAUCAGUGUCUCUGUCCCUGUUUGGUCAAAGGAGAGAACUCGACGAAGAAAUCAUUGGGGCAUGCACUAAACAUCCACCUUUUCAACUAGAGGUCCGGUCACAAAGGUUCGUCGUCUGCAACUGUGAGAGAAGGCCCCCCACUUAGUGUAUUUGACAAGCUGAGUUGGACACUCAGUAUGACAGGGUGUCAGUUUGUCAAAUACCCCAAGUGAGGGGUCACUUGUCUGCUGAGCAUCUCCCACCAGACUGACUUCAAAGAAGAUCACUUCAUAAACCUUCAAGUGACUUUCACUGUUACCCCGUUAGACUUUCUCAGGCAAAACAUUUGAUUGUGUGAAAAUGUACUGUGAUAGUGUACAUGAUCCUGCACUGUCACUAAUGUCUCAUGGAUUUGUGUAAGUUUGUAUGAUGACACUUGGUACACUGUGUAACAAAUGUGUGUGUCCCUGUUUUAAAUACUGUACUGGGUAAACUUGAGGUCGCUAGCAUAUGUAAAGACGAUGUGUAUAGACAAAUACAUAGAAAUGGAAUAGAGAUUGCAUUUCUAUAGGUAACUUUUCAUCAGGUUUCUAAGCACUUUUUGUAGGCCUAAAUUAAGUACAUAAGGGUGACUGACCCACUACCGAUGUCAAGUAAUCACUGGGUGACAGACUGGUAUGGUGAGCGAUGGCACAUUGUUCUACAAUGCGCAGCACAAAUUGGUUAUCAUGGAAGAAAUUAAAGGAGAGUUUAUUCUAAUAUUGAACAAAAUGUUGCUUUAAAUUAAGGGAGAUAUAGAGCAGUUGGAGAUAUAUAACUUAUUUAUAGGGCGACAUGUUUCCUAGCGAUUUGAGCCUUAGACCUGAGCCAACGAGGUGAAAAAUCUGUCGACGUGCCCUUGAGCAAGGCACUUAACCCUAAAUGCUCCAAGGUUGCUUUUGAUAAUGGCAGACCUUGGCUGUGACCACACUCUGAUGGUGUUUCAGGGAGAGAUGGUAUAUGCACAUUUACAAUUCACACAUGCUUAUUAACAUGUGAAAUAGGACAAAUAUAAGCAUGUACCAAAUUAUUAUUUAUCUUGCAAUCUAUGCUUUUACAAGGCCUAUUGUUAUGUUCAAUAACCUGCCUUUGGAUAUUUCUGUAAAAUACCACCCUUUAUCUGUCAGACCCACAUGCCUUCCUGUGCUCACAAAGCCACAUGCGCUUGAGUAAGAGCGGAUGUCUGUACUAUCUUGUGAUUAGAUAGCAGUGUUUGACUCACAUACUGCAUAGCAACGGCAGUCAAUAAAUAUGGAUCGAUUGAUUAUUUAUUUUGAAAAAAGAUGCAACCCAGGGGAUAACACAUUAAAGCAAAAUUAACUUGUUUCCAACGUAGUCCAAGAUGGAAUAUACAAAAUGCAGAUAACACAUACAAAAAUAGUAAUCCCUACAGUACAUGGAGCUAUCUACCACCCAUCAUUAUCAUUUGUCAUCAACACUGAAUAUCAUUGUAUUCUACCGACAUGGUACCAAAACAACCCAGUAUCACUACACUGUACACUGGGUGUACAAAACAUUAUGCAAGUGAAUCCAGGUGAAUGCUAUGAUCCCCUAUUGAUGUGAAUUUUUACAUCCACUUCAAUCAGUGGGGAAGGGGAGGAGACAGGUUGACGAAGGAUUUUUAAGCCUUGAGACAAUUGAGACUUGGAUUGUGUAUGUGUGCCAUUCAUAGGGUGAAUGGGCAAGACAAAUGUAAGUGUCUUUGAGCAGGGUAUGGUAGUAGAUUCCAGGCUCACCGGAUUAUGUCAAGAACUGUAAUGCUGCUGGGUUUUUCACACCCAACAGUUUCCCAUGUGUAUCAAGAAUGGUCCACCACCCAAAGGACAUCAAACCAACUUGUGGAACGCUUUCAACACCUUGUAAAGUCGAUUCCCCGACUAAUUGAGGCUGUUCUGAGGACUCCUGUGUGAACUAGUGCUCUACUACUCCUGUAUGAGAGGACAAAAAAUGUAACAAAUACAAAUAUGGGACUAAGUCACAAAAUUCAACAACCAAGACUUUACUCAUUAUAGCUUAUUCAGUCAUUAUCAUCAUUUCACUUUAAUGGGAAUAGUGUUGCUUGCCACAUUGUGAUAAAGAAGCAGAUGCAUUCUGUCACAUGUUUGUUUAUUAUUAAUUUGUCAGUUGCUGAUUUAAUGGUUACUCUACUCAACACUUCUUUUAUUCUGGUAAAUUAUCUCAGCUAAAUAGAAAAUGUCACAUAUGGGCUAUACCUGUUUAUGACUGUUAGUUGUUUUUAAGUGCAUCAUUUCUGUGCAGUCUUUAAAACAACAGUCUGUAUUUUUCUGUAAUUAUAAAUAAUUAAAUAUAUUUAGAUUUUGUAGAGUAGGCUUUGACUUAUACAGACCUUAUUAAGAUUAGUAACCUACAACUGUCUUACUCUACCAAAAUACCAAGGACCUAGAACCUCAUGAACCUACAUGUUCAUAUCUGGGCGGCAGGGUAGCCUAGUGGUUAGAGUGUUGGAGUAGCAACCGCAAGGUUGCAAGUUCAAACCCCCUGAGCUGACAAGGUACAAAUCUGUCAUUCUGCCCCUGAACAGGCAGUUAACCCACUGUUCCUAGGCUGUCAUUGAAAAUAAGAAUUUGUUCUUAACUGAUUUGCCUAGUUAAAAUAAAAAUAUUUUUGUUGUCA